CUUGGGGAGCUUGGUUAUCCAGGCUGAGAGGUCCUUCAGAGUGAGGACGACCCGCUUACCUGAUCUGGGUAAUGCCAGCGUAGGGAUAGUUA
rnacentral:ncRNA from 1 species